CCUGAUGGAAAUUUUUUCCUAAAUUGUGACGAAUAAUGAUGAUAAUAUUACUGAAAUUCGUUUUGAAUUCUAUUUUA